rnacentral:rRNA from 1 species
AGAAGGAUUGAGAAAAGCACACGGAGUAUCUUAGUUGGUGAAAAGUAUUUCUACUGGCGGUCUUCUAACCACCUAGAGGCUUAUGUGCCUAAACGAAUCUACACGCCGUAUCUUUCCUCCUUUAGUUAUAACUCACUCUACCCACCUCUGUCUGAAAGAAAAGGAAAUGAUCUGUUCUCCCAGUGAUGAGGCAAUAAGGCAAGUAAACGUGUAGGAUAUGAGGAGGCAGAAGUGUGUAAGCCAAUCCCAGAGAUUGAUUAGAGGAAGAAUGACUCUUUGAGAGAGAAUUUAGAAGUAAGCGGGGUUGAAAAUACCUCUCU